rnacentral:rRNA from 1 species
AACGGACGAGAAGCUUGCUUCUCUGAUGUUAGCGGCGGACGGGUGAGUAACACGUGGAUAACCUACCUAUAAGACUGGGAUAACUUCGGGAAACGGAGCUAAUACCGGAUAAUAUUUUGAACCGCAUGGUUCAAAAGUGAAAGACGGUCUUGCUGUCACUUAUAGAUGGAUCCGCGCUGCAUUAGCUAGUUGGUAAGGUAACGGCUUACCAAGGCAACGAUGCAUAGCCGACCUGAGAGGGUGAUCGGCCACACUGGAACUGAGACACGGUCCAGACUCCUACGGGAGGCAGCAGUAGGGAAUCUUCCGCAAUGGGCGAAAGCCUGACGGAGCAACGCCGCGUGAGUGAUGAAGGUCUUCGGAUCGUAAAACUCUGUUAUUAGGGAAGAACAUAUGUGUAAGUAACUGUGCACAUCUUGACGGUACCUAAUCAGAAAGCCACGGCUAACUACGUGCCAGCAGCCGCGGUAAUACGUAGGUGGCAAGCGUUAUCCGGAAUUAUUGGGCGUAAAGCGCGCGUAGGCGGUUUUUUAAGUCUGAUGUGAAAGCCCACGGCUCAACCGUGGAGGGUCAUUGGAAACUGGAAAACUUGAGUGCAGAAGAGGAAAGUGGAAUUCCAUGUGUAGCGGUGAAAUGCGCAGAGAUAUGGAGGAACACCAGUGGCGAAGGCGACUUUCUGGUCUGUAACUGACGCUGAUGUGCGAAAGCGUGGGGAUCAAACAGGAUUAGAUACCCUGGUAGUCCACGCCGUAAACGAUGAGCUGCCUAAGUGUUAGGGGGUUUCCGCCCCUUAGUGCUGCAGCUAACGCAUUAAGCACUCCGCCUGG